rnacentral:rRNA from 1 species
CGCAUCUGUGCAUGCAGCAUAUCAAUAAGCGGAGGAAAAGAAACUAACAAGGAUUCCCCUAGUAACGGCGAGUGAAGCGGGAAGAGCUCAAAUUUGAAAUCUUAAAGGGUUUCCCUUUACGAAUUGUAGUUUAAAGAAGUGUUUUCUGUUGAGGUUUUGGUAAAAGUUCUUUGGAAUAGGACAUCAUAGAGGGUGAGAAUCCCGUAUUUGACCUUUACUUUCAACUUUGUGAUACACUUUCAAAGAGUCGGAUUGUUUGGGAAUGCAGUCCAAAAUGGGUGGUAAAUUUCAUCUAAAGCUAAAUAUUGGCGAGAGACCGAUAGCGAACAAGUACCGUGAGGGAAAGAUGAAAAGAACUUUGAAAGGAGAGUUAAACAGUACGUGAAAUUGUCAAAAGGGAAGCGUUUGACACCAGUGUUGUUUUUCUGAAAAUCAAUUAAAGAACUGUUUAUGCUAAGUUGUUUAGACUUUAUCAGCUAACUGUUUAGUUUUGAGCUUUUCUUUAAUGCACUUUUCAGUUAACAAGUCAACAUCAAUUUCUUUUGCUGUAAAAAAGCUUGAGGAAGGUGGCUUGAGAUUCGUCUUAAGUGUUUAUAGCCUCUUGCCUAUGCAGUCGGAGAGAUUGAGGUCUGCAGCGUAGAUCCUUCGGGGCUAAAUGCAUUUGUGCUAAGUUAUAGCAUUUUAUAGACAACUUGUUGACUAUGAUUUGUCUUGUAGCUUACUCGCUUAUGUUAUUUUACCUACGCUUAGGAUGUUGACAGCAGUAUAGACUGU